rnacentral:rRNA from 1 species
GACGAACGCUGGCGGCGUGCUUAACACAUGCAAGUCGAACGGAAAGGCCCUGCUUUUGUGGGGUGCUCGAGUGGCGAACGGGUGAGUAACACGUGAGUAACCUGCCCUUGACUUUGGGAUAACUUCAGGAAACUGGGGCUAAUACCGGAUAGGAGCUCCUGCUGCAUGGUGGGGGUUGGAAAGUUUCGGCGGUUGGGGAUGGACUCGCGGCUUAUCAGCUUGUUGGUGGGGUAGUGGCUUACCAAGGCUUUGACGGGUAGCCGGCCUGAGAGGGUUACCGGGCACAUUGGGACUGAGAUACGGCCCAGACUCCUACGGGAGGCAGCAGUGGGGAAUAUUGCACAAUGGGCGGAAGCCUGAUGCAGCAACGCCGCGUGCGGGAUGACGGCCUUCGGGUUGUAAACCGCUUUCGCCUGUGACGAAGCGUGAGUGACGGUAAUGGGUAAAGAAGCACCGGCUAACUACGUG